rnacentral:tRNA from 1 species
GCCUGGGUGGCUCAGUUGGUUAAGCAUCCGACUUCGGCUCAGGUCAUGAUCUCAUGGUUUGUGGGUUCAAGCCCCACAUCGGGCU